rnacentral:rRNA from 1 species
UGAAUCCUGUANCUUUGGUAUUGGGAGUUGUAGUGUAAAGGUUGUGUCUUUAAUUGAGAAUCRCAUUCCAAAUUGACUUGAUUGUCAUGUUGUCCAGAGAGGGUGUUAGACCCGUUGGNAUGUGUGCUACUUUUAUUUGAUACUUCCUAUGAGUCGGAUUGUUUGAGAAUGCAGUCCAAAUUGGGUGGUAAACUUCAUCUAAGGCUAAAUACUUGUGCUAGUCCGAUAGAAAACAAGUACCGUGAGGGAAAGUUGAAAAGAACUUUGAAGAGAGAGUUAAAUAGUACGUGAAAUCGCUUAGAGGUAAACGAGUGGAGCCGAAAAUGUUGUGUAGGAUUCAGUUGUUUGCAAUUUGUCUUCUUAUAAAUAAUAUUCGUAAGAAAUUAUUCAUAAUCAGUUUUCAUUUUACAAACGAUGCACUUUCUACAUAACUAAGCUGCGAUCGAUAGCGUUGUUUUUCUGUCGUAUAAUUGAAGGUGACCAGUUUUUCGGAAUUGGUUUUAUAGCUUUAUACACGGUCAAUCAAUUUAUCGGUGUUAAUUGAGAUUAAUCAUUGUUGCUGGCUGCUAAUAUGAGUUGUUGGAUUGUAAACUUUUAAUAAGAUUGCUUUUCAAUCGAUUCACGUCAGUGUCGGUAAUCGGUUAUUCGAAAUCUGCAGUGUAUUAUGUAGGUUACCUACUCGUCCCGUCUUGAAACACGGACCAAGGAGUUUUAUAUGAUCGCAAGUCAAAGGGCUUUACGAAACCCCACCGCGUAAUUAAUGUAAAGGNUUGCGUUGGUAANCUGAAAUGUGAUCUNAAUCUCAGCUCAGCUCAUACUGUUCUGUUCUGUUGUUGGAGCAACAUUGACCUGUCUAAAGAAUCUCGAUUCUGGGCGGAGUUUGAGCGAUCAUGUAGAGACCCGAAAGAUGGUGAACUAUGCUUGUGCAGGUUGAAGCCAGAGGAAACUCUGGUGGAGGACCGAAGCGGUUCUGACGUGCAAAUCGAUCGUCGGACAUGRGUAUAGGGGCGAAAGACUAAUCGAACCAUCUAGUAGCUGGUUCCCUCCGAAGUUUCCCUCAGGAUAGCUGGCGUUUGAGUUGUAGUUUUACCUGGUAAAGCGAAUGAUUAGAAGUACUGGGGACGAAAUGUUUUCAACUUAUUCUCAAACUUUAAAUAGGUUCGAAGUGCCACUCGCUUCAUUGGAGUGGUACAUAGAAUACAAAUGCCUAGUGGGCCAUUUUUGGUAAGCAGAACUGGCGAUGUGGGAUGAACCAAACAUCUGGUUAAGGUGCCUAACACCACGCUCAUCAGAUACCACAAAAGGUGUUGGUUGAUAAAGACAGCAGGACGGUGGACAUGGAAGUCGUCAUCCGCUAAGGAGUGUGUAACAACUCACCUGCCGAAUCAACCAGCCCUGAAAAUGGAUGGCGCUGUAGCGUGGGACCUAUACCGGAUCAGUAUCGUAGUGUAUAACAUUANGGAAAACGGUACUGUGU